rnacentral:rRNA from 1 species
AGCGAACGCUGGCGGCAGGCCUAACACGUGCAAGUCGAACGAAGUCUUCGGACUUAGUGGCGGACGGGUGAGUAACACGUGGGAACGUGCCUUUAGGUUCGGAAUAACUCAGGGAAACUUGUGCUAAUACCGAAUGUGCCCUUCGGGGGAAAGAUUUAUCGCCUUUAGAGCGGCCCGCGUCUGAUUAGCUAGUUGGUGAGGUAAAGGCUCACCAAGGCGACGAUCAGUAGCUGGUCUGAGAGGAUGAUCAGCCACAUUGGGACUGAGACACGGCCCAAACUCCUACGGGAGGCAGCAGUGGGGAAUUUUGCGCAAUGGGCGAAAGCCAGACGCAGCCAUGCCGCGUGGAUGAUGAAGGUCUUAGGAUUGUAAAAUCCUUUCACCGGUGAAGAUAAUGACUGUAGCCGGAGAAGAAGCCCCGGCUAACUUCGUGCCAGCCGCCGCGGUAAUAC